UACGUAGGGUGCUAGCGUUGUCCGGAAUCAUUGGGCGUAAAGCGCGUGUAGGCGGUCCGGUAAGUCCGCUGUGAAAGUCGGGGGCUCAACCCUCGAAUGCCGGUGGAUACUGUCGGGCUAGAGUGCGGAAGAGGCGAGUGGAAUUCCUGGUGUAGCGGUGAAAUGCGCAGAUAUCAGGAGGAACACCAAUUGCGAAGGCAGCUCACUACGGAUAUAUUGACACUGAGGCACGAAAGCGUGGGGAUCAAACAGG
rnacentral:rRNA from 1 species